GGGCGGGGCCGGCGAGGCGAGCGCCGGGUUUGUAGCGGCGCCCUCUAGCGGCUUCUCGAGGAGCCUCCGGAAGCGUGACCUUGGAGCCUAGGCGUCCCCGGUCACCUUUGCAAAAGGAAGGUGGGUUGCCUUUGUGGCCCCCGACCGGUGACUUUGCUGUUUCCUCCUUGUCCCGUCGGGGAAAGAAUCUCAGGAUACCUGACGUUGGGCAAUGGGGUUCUAAAAGUGUGGUGUGGGGAAACCUUUUGGGGUUCCAAGAUCCUUUUAAGGAGUCUGUGUCAAAACUAUAGUUUCGUAACGAUAGUAAGACGUCAUCUGCCUUUUUCAAUCUCGCUGGAAGGAAUUUUCCAGACGAGACCGGAAGUGUGGUGACGUCAUUGCUCAGCUGACUAAGGGAAUGGGUGUAUAUUUUUGUGUCUUCUAGAGUUUCUUAAGUCUUAGUUAAAUCUCUGACCUCACUUGUGGAAGAAACACUCCUGCCUGAGUUUAAGUUUUAUGCUCUUAUGCUUUACUUUGCCCUUAUGACAAGAAGAGCCUGUUCUGAAAAACAGAUGGCCAAAGAAAAGCUCGUUAUGAUCGUGUUUGUGCACAGGGCCUCCUUAAGGAUGAAAGAGCUCACGGAGAGAAGUGUCCGGCUGACAGCCAGCACCAACUGCCAGAGGCCACUUUGGACCAUCCAACCUCAGUUGAGCUGUCGGUGAUUGCAGCCAUCCAAGCGAUCCAAGGCAAGACCAGCAGAAGAACCACCUACGAGCUGAUCCCAGCCCACAUUGUCAACCCACAGAAUCAUGAGCCCCCAAAACUGUUAUUUUAAGCCACUAAAUUUGGGGGUGGUCUCUUACACAGCAAAGGCUAACUGAAACCUGAUGCCCAUCUUGGUUGUUUACACUUGGCUUCUAUUCUGAUUGGUUGUGGUGUCCAUUCUGUCUGGUCUUCUGCUUUGUUGUACCUGUUUUAAAAUAUUUUAAAAAUCACCUCUGCUGUGUGUAAGUGUAGUAACAAAUUGGUAUCGUAUAUCUAUAAUUUGUAUCCUGCAGAAUACUGUAUGCUUGGGUCAAUUUACUUAACCUUGUUAGGUCAUCAUUUCUUCAUCUGUAAAAAGUAAUAAUAAUGUUCUUCAUAUGGUUAAUUGUUGUGAGGAUUAAAUGAGGUAGUACAUAUAAAGUGCUCAGUACAGCACCUAGAAUAAUUGUUAGCGUUAUUACUAUUAACAUUACAGUGUAUUUUCCCAUAUCAUUAAAUAUAUUUAACUUUAAAAAAAUGUAAUGGCUCCUUAGAGUUCCGCUAUGUGCAAUUUAUUUUAUCAUUCUAUUGUUGAAGAUUUAGGUUUUUUUCCAACGAUGAAUAAUGCUUUGAUGAACAUCUUUCCACCCAAGUUUUGGCCUAGGUUUCUGAUUAUUUCCUUAGGUAGAUUCCCAGAAGUGAAAUUACUAGGUGAGCGGAGAUGUAAUUUUGUUCAUCUGCAGCCAGAGAAACACUACAAAUUCAGGUGUAGAUUUGAAUGACUCUUUGGAUGUGCUCACUGUAGCUUGAAUUGUCUAAAUUUUGAUAAUAUCUGCGUUCCAUAGGUUAUAAUACUUGGGGUAGUCUAGAAGUUGGAUCUUUCUUAGAGGGUGGUUUUACUACAUGUGGGUGACAGCCGGUGAGCUUGGUCAAUAAAACCAACCAGCCCUAAGAAAACAGCAGAAUUUUCUUUU